UGCAUGGGUAUGGUGUGGAAAGUUUUUCGGUCUGGGAUGGACUCGCGGCCUAUCAGCUUGUUGGUGAGGUAAUGGCUCACCAAGGCGACGACGGGUAGCCGGCCUGAGAGGGCGACCGGCCACACUGGGACUGAGACACGGCCCAGACUCCUACGGGAGGCAGCAGUGGGGAAUAUUGCACAAUGGGCGAAAGCCUGAUGCAGCGACGCCGCGUGAGGGAUGACGGCCUUCGGGUUGUAAACCUCUUUCAGCAGGGAAGAAGCGCAAGUGACGGUACCUGCAGAAGAAGCACCGGCUAACUACGUGCCAGCAGCCGCGGUAAUACGUAGGGUGCGAGCGUUGUCCGGAAUUAUUGGGCGUAAAGAGCUUGUAGGCGGUUUGUCGCGUCUGCCGUGAAAAUUCGAGGCUCAACCUCGAACUUGCGGUGGGUACGGGCAGACUAGAGUGUGGUAGGGGAGACUGGAAUUCCUGGUGUAGCG
rnacentral:rRNA from 1 species